rnacentral:lncRNA from 1 species
UUGCAAAGGGGAAUCCAGGCACAAUCUUCAGCUGUUGUGCAUCCAAAAACGAUUAUGGAAAUGAUGCUGAAAAUGCAUCUAUGAGCAUCAAUUUACUGUGUCCUGCCUGGCUUCAGGGCCUCAGAUGCAUCCUGAAGAGCAUCCAGGGAAGUCUUAGAGCCAUGGGCUUCUCUGCUAAGAACUGGUGAUGUCACGCAGGCUGGAAGCUGACAAUUUAAGUCAAUUCACUCUCCAAAAUGUUGCACCCCUGCUGCGUGUUAAGCUCAUUAAAGUUGGAGAGUUGAAUGAGCUAAUGUUCAUGA